rnacentral:rRNA from 1 species
CGCCCGUCAACUCAGGGGAGUCGGCAGCACCCGAAGUCCGCCCUUAGAGGCGGCCUAAGGUGAGGCCGGCGACCAGGAGUAAGUCGUAACAAGGUAGCCGUAGCGGAAGCUGCGGCUGGAUCACCUCCU